UACGAAGGGUGCAAACGUUGCUCGGAAUUAUUGGGGCGUAAAGCGCACGUAGGCGGCUUUUCAAGUCCCAUGUGAAAUCCCACGGCUUAACCGUGGAAGUGCAUGGGAAACUGGAAAGCUUGAGUACUUAAGAGGAUCGCGGAAUUCCCGGUGUAGAGGUGAAAUUCGUAGAUAUCGGGAGGAACACCAGUGGCGAAGGCGGCGAUCUGGGAAGAUACUGACGCUGAGGUGCGAAAGCGUGGGGAGCAAACAGG
rnacentral:rRNA from 1 species